UUACGGCCACAACACGUUGAAACCCCGGUUCUCGUACGACCUCCGAAGUUAAGCAAUGUCGAGCUUAGUCAGUACCUAGAUGGGUAACUGUUUGGGAAUACUAGGUGCUGUG